AGGUGCCUCCACUUGCUCCUGGAAGGGACCUCCUGAAGAGCUCCUCUGAGGAGAGCAGUUCUCCAGGCUCUUCACAAGUCCAUCAUGAGCGAAGAGCAGCCUCUGAGAAGGGAUGUGAUGAGGAGCCAGGAAGGAAGAAGAAGAAGAAGCUGGAAGGAGUUUGCAGGCCUGGGCAGAGAAGGAAAUCCAAGCAGGCAAGACGAAGGAGGAGCCCAGGAAGCUGGAAGAGACUUCCAAAGAAAUGUCUCCUUCAUGUGCACCACCAUGGCUUGUCACAUUACCCUUCUGAGGCCCCCUACCUAGUGAAACCCUGCUCCAUCUCCAUGCUUUUGAAUUGUCUUUAGAGUUGCUGUAGUGAU